ACAGCUGCUAGCCAUUCAUAUGAACAGCGGCUGUCCUGCACAGCAAUGACUGCUAAGUAUGGAAUGUUUGAUGUGAGCUUCCUUCCACACUGAACAAUUGAUUCAGAACUGAAGCGCAAAAGGGGAAUCCGACUGUUUAAUUAAAACAAAGCAUUGUGAUGGCAUUUGCAUGUGCUGAUGCAUUGUGAUUUCUGCCCAGUGCUYUGAAUGUCAAAGUGAUGAAAUUCAAACAAGCGCGGGUAAACGGCGGGAGUAACUAUGACUCUCUUAAGGUAGCCAAAUGCCUCGUCAUCUAAUUAGUGACGCGCAUGAAUGGAUUAACGAGAUUCCCACUGUCCUUACUUUCAAUUUAGCGAAACCACAGCCAAGGGAACGGGCUUGGGUUAAUCAGCGGGGAAAGAAGACCCUGUUGAGCUUGACUCUAGUCUGAUAUUGUGAAAUGACUCAGGAGGUGUAGAAUAAGUGGGAGUAUCCUUGCAAUCAUGAAAUACCACUACUCUUGAUGUUAUUUUACUUAUUCUGUGAAGCUUGUCCUUGCACUUGCCUGUUGUUGUUUAUAAGCCAUUAUGUAUUGGUGUACUUGUGUGGAAUACUGCGUCAGGUUGGGAGUUUGGCUGGGGCGGCACAUCUGUUAAAUGAUAACGCAGGUGUCCUAAGGUGAGCUCAAUAARAACAGAAAUCUUAUGUARACUAAAAGGGGAAAAGCUUGYUUGAUUUUCAUUUUCAG
rnacentral:rRNA from 1 species